AAUGUGGAAGGUUUUAUAAUCUGCGUCACCACAAGAGGGAGCGCGAUAACUGGCACACUGAGGAGAAACCAUGAGGCAAAAACUUUGCUCUUUAACACAUUACAUUAAGAAUUUAACUUAAAGGAGAAUUGAAAGUGUUUAUAAAUUAUUUGGGCCAACCUUUUAAAAUCACCGUGACAUGCGGAAAAUUCACCAGGCAAGAGCUGAAGCAGAGGCUCAUGGACAGCAAAGCAGCAAGAAUUUCAGGAUGGUCCAGAUGGACGGAGUUCUGGCUGGUUGGUUGAUGGACUCCAUGUCCCAACAAGGCUGCAGCAUCAGCAAGAGAAGAUGGCAGACAAUGGUGAUAAAGCACAACAGCAGCAGAUGACAUGGCACCUGAAACUAUCACUGACUGUAAGCUGAAACACUGAACUUCCAGCACCUUGGAUUCUGUACCUCUCUGAUCUUCCUCCAGUCUCUUGGACCUUGAUACUUUAGACCACUGAGCAACAGUUCAGUUCUUCUUCUCCUUUGUCCAGAGUGCUGACCCUCCAAUGACCCAGUAUGGUGUGAAACACUCACACAGGAGUCACUGCAAACCUACAUGAGUCUCUGCAGGCACUCAUCUGUUUGUCUCUCACACUCAGAGCUCACCUUAAGGGCAGCCAUUCUUCUCUGAGUACCAGCAUGGAUUAAACCCUCACUGGAACUCUGCUCUGUCAACAGUGUCUUAGUACAUCAGUGCUUUAUCAACACCUCAUCCAGCAUCUAUUAUCAGAGGUUUCUCUGUGAACCUUGAAGACAUGCACGCAGUUUAUAAGCUCAGCCCAGUAUUCUGCCUUAAGGGCCUAAAUUGUUUCACUUUAGCAUACAUGUAUAAAAAAUUAACAACAGU